GAAGUCCCCUGCCACAACAAGGGCACCCUCUGGGUGGAUUUGCUGUUGCCUGGAGAUGACGUCAUAUAGCUUAGAAAGUGCCGCACUGACAUUAGCAUCAGGUGGAAUAUAAACAGCUAUAAUAAUUAUGACAGUUACUUGUCUAGGCAGAUAAAAUGGCCAACAUGUAACUGCCAUCAAUUCUACAUCUGGGGAGCAAUACGUGUAAGCUACUUUGCUGUUAACGCACCAACCAUUGUGUAUGUAAAUACAGACUCCUCCGCCCAUAGCUUUACCAGAAUCACUGUUUCUAUCAGAGCGAUAAAUUAUUCAAUUUAUCAGCUCAACUGCCACAUCCGGUACUGCUGAAUGUAGCCAAGUUUCUGUAAUAAUUACCACACAGCUUUCACGAAGAAGCUUGUUUGCUGCCAUCAGCAACUGUAAUUCGUCAAUUUUAUGGAUGAGACGCUUGGCAGUGCUGGUCUGAUGGGUCUUUUUCGAAGCCGGGUUAACAGACCAGCUCUGCAGCCAUGUUUUUGCUUUUGCUCUUUUCUCUUUCGCUUCUUUUGGCACUUCCCCCUCCCGAUGACAAUCCAUAGAGAUCCUGGAGGUCUUACUGUGCAGUUUGGUAUACAGUGGGACCUUUGAAACUCUCUAGUUAUCUCUAUUUUUCUUGCAAGCCCGAUGUUUACCAGUUUUGUGCGUGAGUAGGUGAGGUAUUGGGAGCUCAGAGCCGCAGCUUAUGAACGCGCCGCCAUCUUGGAACCAAAAUGAAAACCAAAGAGUAUUUCUUUACCCAACAAUAGCGGCCAAAAUGUUAAUAGCAAAACACUGGAAAUGUCAGAAUUCCUGCUCCAUGAUUGCAGUCAUGGGAUUGUUGUCUAUCACAUGACUGUGUACGUUUUGACUCCACAGAGUGGGAAGUGAUGGAGACAGGAUUUUUGUGUUACUGUGUUCCGUGAAGUGGGACUAUGGUCCUUUGUUCUCUUUGCUGUCUGAUGCUAGAGAGAGAGGGAACGUACAAUUUUAAUUGGCUCUGGGAAUAAUCCUAGGCCUGAGGACCCAGUUUCCAAGUAUGAGAGCCUGCUCCAACAAUUAAAAACCCCAUCUUUUUAAUACCACAGAGAACAGGCCAACUAAACCAAUAACAUCAAAUAAACCCUGGUUUGACUACACCUGCUUUGAGGGCAAGAAAGCCCUGCAAAAUGCUUACAAAGCUGCCCUCACAGCUGAAAAUUCUGUCAGACAGCAAGCCUAUCUUGCCGUCCAUGCCCUAAAAAAAGAGUAUAAAGACCUAAUAACCCACCAAAAGAACGCCUAUACCAGAAAAUGUUGGCUAGAAUUAAUUAGUGCGGCAAAAGCAAAAGGUCAGACACUAUUCUGGAAACUGGUAGUUUCUGGCACCCAUAAGGCUAUUUCCCCCUUAACCUCACAAAUUCCCCCUAACCUUUGGGUCUCAUUCUUCCAAUCUCUGUACGAGGACGCUGAACCUCCAUUACGGAAUAAUAAUACAGUGGUGCCUCGCAAGACGAAAUUAAUUCGUUCCGCGAAUUUUUUCGUCUAGCGAAUUUUUCGUCUUGCGAAGCACGAAAUCCCAUAGGAACGCAUUAAUUGAUUUUCAAUGCAUUCCUAUGGUCAAAAAAAGUCCAAACAAAGCCAAAUUUGGUACAACAAGAGUUUAUUAAGUGCUCUUUAAAGUCACACAUACUGUAAAGAGCAUUUCAAAAAUUGAAGGAACAAUAAAUUAAGUUUCUAAACAUGACAGAAAAACAUUUAAAAAUCAACAAAGUGUACAGUACAUUUUCUAAGACUCUGGGAGACAACUCGAAGAAGGUUCCUCUUCCACUCUUUGCUUCUUGCUGAAGAACCUGUCCAUGGUCUGCUGCUUCAUCCGCCUUUUCAGCACCUCCCUGAAAGGCGACAUGACCCUCGUAUCAAAAGUGUUCGCAAGGUCACGUGUCAGGUCCUUGUCAGGGUGGUGCCGCUGUGCAAAAGCCUGCACAUCUUUCCACUUCUGGCAAAUGUCCCUCAGUUCUUCAGCCGCAGGAACAUCAGAACUGGCAGCCUCUCCAUGCCUGACCACGCUGUGGAUUCCAGAUCUUGCCUUGAACCGGUCAAACCAACCUCUGCUUGCCUUGAAGACUUCUGGCUCGCCUGAGGUUCCUGGCUGUUCCCGGACGAGGUCUGCAUGCAAGGCCUUGGCCUUCUCACAAAUGACGGCCUCAGUCACUGUGUCCCCUGCACGCUGCUUCUCUUCUAACCAGAUGAGCAGCAACUUCUCGACCUCCUCCAGAACAGCUGGGCGGUUCUUCACGAUCCUGGUGACUCCCUUGGCUGCAUCAGUCGCAAGGAUCUUCUCCCUCAUCUUCAGGAUGGUCCCGAUGGUCGAUGGAUUCCUCCCGUACUCCCUGGCGAGGUCUGUCACACUCAUUCCACCGUCGUGCUUCCGGAUGAUCUCCUUCUUCAUUUCCAGCGUCACCUUCUCCUUCUUCCUCUCGCCGGCCUCUGCAGCAGCAGUC